rnacentral:lncRNA from 1 species
UCACACCUGGAUGUGCUCACUCAACCAAGAAUAUAGAGACAGAGCCUCUGCCCUGAGACUCAGAGAAACGCUCUCCUGUGCCUCCCUCCGCUCAGUAUAGAUUUCUAGACCCUGAUCAUUGCUUAAGAGAUAUUCACCGGGAACCAGAGAGAAACCUACGCCCAGAAGAACAUGUCCCUGGAUUGCUUUCCCACUGCUGUGGAGUGUCUUGAACACUGGUCCCUGGACACCAACUUCAAGAAGACUUCAUGGAUGGCUGUCCAGUCUUAUGAGCCACAGUUUCCCCUCUACAUUUUCUUCACUCCAGCGAGGCUCUUAUCAGGGUCAGAUCAGAGAUGAACCAGCUGGACGACAGAUUGGAGCGCUGACCUCUUAGAGUGCUAACAGUGAACAGUGUGGGGUCAGAUCUAUAGAAAGAUAAUAAUAAGAAAACACCCUAUAUGCAAGGGAGAGGGAUGGUUCAUAAUUUCUUAAAGAUUGAAAUCAAGGAACAAUCAAAAUAUAGAAGAAUGUGGACGUGUUUUGCUGCAGGACUUCUGUUUUGUCCCCAUUGGAAUAUGUAUUAUGGUAUUCCUGUUGGAUCAGGACUCAGGGGCAAGGCUAAGCAUUCCAGUGGUCCUCCUACUUAGCUCUUGUCCUUUCGUAAGAAACACCAACUCAUUAGUCUCUAUAUUACUUCUCUGUACUGUAGAUCUGCAUUCUUGAUCUGAGAGAUAUUGGCAAUGACACUCUUGUAUGAUAAAGCUCAAUGAUAAGAGUACUUCAAACCCCCUUGAACUUUUUGUUUAUACAUCAAGUGGUGACAUUGUGUAUUGAGCUAAUUAGAUCAAUGGAGUCACAGGGUGAUACUGAACUCUUUUAAAAUAUUUGGCUGAAACAUGACAUUGUAGUUAUUUGUAGAAGAGAACAUUAUGGAAUAUGAAAAACAUCACAGAACACAGAACUAGCAGCAGAAACUAGCAGCAGUUCAGUCGAGGAAUAGCUUCCUCCAGGUGGUCUAUACCUAUCGCCAGUUUACAGAAAAAGGAAGCCAGGUGGAUGGAAAACGUGUGCCAAGUUUCUGUGCUUACAAUCCACUAAACUCAUUCUCAUAUGAGGACUUUAUAUACCUGUGAUGGAGUGGGAAAAUCAAUAACCUGGAAAAAAUGAGUACCAUUUUCCAAAGAAGUUCAAUAAAGAGAUGGAAUUUGGGAAA